CACCAGACAGGUUGGCUGCCUCCUACGGAGCUGGUGCUCCAGCUGCGGAGAUCUUGAAAGCCAUAAUCUUCUCCAGAAAUGGCAAGGUACAGACGCAGCAGGAGCAGAAGCAGGAGCCGUCGCAGAAGGCGACGAAGGGGAGGCCGCGGGGGUCGACAUGGAAGGAGGAGAAGACGACAUGGCAGAAGGAGAAGAGGUCGUAGAGGUAGAGAGCGAACUCGGAGGAGGAGGAGAAGGAGGAGUUUUUAAUUUCCUGAUUUCUCCCAUUCUCCUGUGCAAAUCAUCGACCCUUCACUCUGCGAUAUCUGCUAUGGCAAAAAGAAUCAACCCUUCAGUGACGACACCCCGCGAUGACUUCCUAACCUGCAAGGAACCAGCUACCAUUUGAACAAUGCCACCUGUCAAUAAACUUUGAAAUUUCA